GACGAACGCUGGCGGCGUGCUUAACACAUGCAAGUCGAGCGGAAAGGCCCUUCGGGGUACUCGAGCGGCGAACGGGUGAGUAACACGUGAGUAACCUGCCCUGGACUUUGGGAUAACCCUCGGAAACGGGGGCGUAAUACCGGAUAUGACAUACUCUCGCAUGGGAGUGUGUGUGGAAAGUUUUACGGUUCGUGGAGUGGCGUCGCGGCCUAUCAG
rnacentral:rRNA from 1 species